UGAUAAAUAAAAGUAUUUUUGAGGGUUGAAAAAGUAUUUUGAUUUUUUUCACAAAUGCAAUAUUUAAUGGAGUGGAGUGUGAAUUAAUUCAGUACCUGGAGUAUAUAGGGUUAAUGUAAUUCAAAACCAGGAGCCUUGUACACAAGUAAGGAAGAAGAAGAGGAUAGAAGUAGAGAGUGAAAGACUAGAGAAAGCUAAGGAAAGGGUGGAAAGAUAGGACGGAAAAAGAAAGCAAUGAAGAUAUAUAACAGAUAUACUGAUGUGGCUUCUGGGGCAGGGAGAUGGAGGAGAAAGACUCUUGAAAGGCUGAAGGAAGACAUAAAGACAAAUACCAGGGAGAGUCACUGCUCCCAUGGCUGAAGCCCACCCCGACAGACCCCGUCAUCGGCAAGCAUCCACUGGACAUAUAUUCCCAACCCUCUGUGGAGCAGACUGAUGGAGGAAGACGUGGCCUGACCUUGAGGACCCUGUGGACAAGCAGGUGCAGUCAGCUGUGCACAGGGAGGC
rnacentral:lncRNA from 1 species